rnacentral:rRNA from 1 species
UACGAAGGGGGCUAGCGUUGCUCGGAAUCACUGGGCGUAAAGCGCACGUAGGCGGCUUACUAGGUCAGGGGUGAAAUCCUGGAGCUCAACUCCAGAACUGCCUUUGAUACUGGUAAGCUCGAGUCCGGGAGAGGUGAGUGGAACUGCGAGUGUAGAGGUGAAAUUCGUAGAUAUUCGCAAGAACACCAGUGGCGAAGGCGGCUCACUGGCCCGGUACUGACGCUGAGGUGCGAAAGCGUGGGGAGCAAACAGG